rnacentral:SRP_RNA from 1 species
GCUGGGUGCAGUGGCACAUGCCUGUAGUCCCAGCCACUAGGGAGGCUGAGGUAGGAGAAUCGCUUGAGUCCAGGAGUUCUGGGCUGUAGUGCGCUAUGCCAAUUGGGUGUCCGCACUAAGUUUGGAAUCAAUAUGGUGACCUCCCAGGAGUUGGGGGACCAUCAGGUUGCCUAAGGAGGGAUGAACUGGCCGAGGUUGGAAAGGGAGCAGGUCAAAACUCCAAUGCCGAUCAGAAGAAAUCAACCCUGCUGACAUCUGAGCUCAGCCUUUGAGCCUCCAGAACUGU